rnacentral:rRNA from 1 species
UACGGAGGGUGCAAGCGUUAUCCGGAUUUACUGGGUUUAAAGGGUGCGUAGGUGGGCAGGUAAGUCAGUGGUGAAAUCUCCGGGCUUAACCCGGAAACUGCCAUUGAUACUAUCUGUCUUGAAUAUCCUGGAGGUAAGCGGAAUAUGUCAUGUAGCGGUGAAAAUGCUUAGAUAUGACAUAGAACACCAAUUGCGAAGGCAGCUUACUACACAGUUAUUGACGCUGAGGCACGAAAGCGUGGGGAUCAAACAGG